GCCAGGCAGGGUGGUGAGCGCCUGUAGUCCCAGCUACUAGGAGGCUGAGGUGGGAGGAUUGCUUGAGCCCAGGAGCUCUGGGCUGUAGUGUGUUAUGUCGAUCAGGUGUUCACACUAAGUUCGGCAUCAAGAUGGUGACCUCCUGGGAGCCGGGGACCACCAGGUUGCCUAAGGAGGGGUGAACCACUCAGGUCAGAAACAGAGCAGGUCAAAACUCCUGUGCGGAUCAGUAGUGGGAUCGUGCCUGUGAAUUGCCACUGCACUCCAGCCUGGGCAACAUAGUGAGACCAGUCUCCU
rnacentral:SRP_RNA from 1 species